GUAGGGUACAGGGUUAGGGCUAGAUGAAGGUGGUAGGGUACAGGGUUAGGGCUAGAUGAAGGUGGUAGGGUACAGGGUUAGGGCUAGAUGAAGGUGGUAGGGUACAGGGUUAGGGCUAGAUGAAGGUGGUAGGGUACAAGGUUAGGGCUAGAUGAAGGUGGUAGGGUACAGGGUUAGGGUUAGAUGAAGGUGGUAGGGUACAGGGUUAGGGUUAGAUGAAGGUGGUAGGGUACAGGGCUAGAUGAAGGUGGUAGGGUGCAGGGUUAGGGCUAGAUGAAGGUGGUAGGGUACAGGGUUAGGGCUAGAUGAAGGUGGUAGGGUACAGGGUUAGGGCUAGAUGAAGGUGGUAGGGUACA
ensembl:lncRNA